rnacentral:rRNA from 1 species
GAACCUGCGGAGGGAUCAUUACCGAGUUAUACAACUCAUCAACCCUGUGAACAUACCUAUAACGUUGCCUCGGCGGGAACAGACGGCCCCGUAACACGGGCCGCCCCCGCCAGAGGACCCCCUAACUCUGUUUCUAUAAUGUUUCUUCUGAGUAAACAAGCAAAUAAAUUAAAACUUUCAACAACGGAUCUCUUGGCUCUGGCAUCGAUGAAGAACGCAGCGAAAUGCGAUAAGUAAUGUGAAUUGCAGAAUUCAGUGAAUCAUCGAAUCUUUGAACGCACAUUGCGCCCGCCAGUAUUCUGGCGGGCAUGCCUGUUCGAGCGUCAUUACAACCCUCAGGCCCCCGGGCCUGGCGUUGGGGAUCGGCGGAAGCCCCCUGCGGGCACAACGCCGUCCCCCAAAUACAGUGGCGGUCCCGCCGCAGCUUCCAUUGCGUAGUAGCUAACACCUCGCAACUGGAGAGCGGCGCGGCCACGCCGUAAAACACCCAACUUCUGAAUGUUGACCUCGAAUCAGGUAGGAAUACCCGCUGAACUUAAGCAUAUCAAUAAGCGGAGGAA